GCCUCCAUCGUUGAACAGAAGUGGUGGUGCCAGAUGCAUCCGUGCCUCGAUGGGGAGGAAUGCAAAGUUCUUCCUGAUCUGAAGGGCUGGAGCUGCGCUACAGGGAACAAGAUAAAAACCACCAAGAUUUCUGCUGACAGAGACCAGCUUUGGUAACGUCAGAUGCUCCACUGCAAACCCCAGAUGAAACCUGCGCUGCGUUCCGGCGGAUCAUAAAAGGAGACGAGGACGAUUCAAAGGACCUGGCUGUAAAUAGAGACAUCUUUUAUUCUGGACUAGAAAUAAGCUUUUAAGAACUGAAGAAAUCCUCGUGAACUUGACGGACGUCGUCAUGAGGAGGACUGAACUUCCUGCUCUGCUUUUUUUAAAGGACUCCCCAUGAUUAGCCUUACUGGACAACAGGUUGAAGUCUCUGAUGUUGUACUGCUUGUAGUGGAACACAGAAACUAACUUUGUCUUUUUGUUCAUUUCAUGAGAAACUCGAAGUCUGCGGCUGGUCGAACGCAAAGUUCGUUUUAUUUGGGGGGGGGCAACGGAUCAUUGUGUCGUAUGACCCAACAGAUUAUCGGGUUCUCCAUUUACUUAUAACAUGUAAUACUCAAAGAAAUACUCUGAAUACUUAAGCUCUUCGCCAUCUUCAAACAAGGCACCGUUUAAACAUUACCGAAAGGAAAUGGAAUCUAUUCACAAUCUAUUUCUUCUACAUUUAGUUUCCUUAUAACCUGUAUUGCUGCUUUAAAGUUCAGCUUAUUUGGUAAGAUGUGUGUAAAUUCCAAAUAUUUGGUUUCCAUCUGGACGAUGACAGUGUUUCCAAAACUGUUUCCAACUAGUUACUCAAGUAUGGUUUGCUAAUGACCUUUAAGUGACUAUCGCUGACACUUCUUUAGCCUGUGUAAGUGAUGACAUUAGUAAUAAACGAUGGUGGUGUAGCUAAAGCUUGUGUGUUUUCACCGUCUGUGUGCUAACCCGUAGAGUCAG